UCUCCACAUAAUAAGUCACUCUUUGUGAUAUAAUUAGGCGAACUGUUCAGGCUACGGUUUUAUGUUGCCGGUUUGGUUCAACCACUAUAUCUCUAUAUCUCUCUCUAUAUCAUCUCCUUAACACAAAUUGCUAAAAGUUCUUUUGAAGGUUUACUCGCAAGAUUUCAUCUUAUUUUUCGGGUGAUGCGCCGAGGAUGAGUCGCCGCGCGCGGCCGUGACAUGGGAGCGCAGGCAUGGGCUGGCGCGCCGAGCAAACGCCGCACAUCGCCGCCGGCCUGCUCCUCUUGCUGCUAGCCAACCUGCCGGGUACACUCCACACCUAGUACUGUUUGUAUUAUCAAUAGCUGGCCAGGAUGCGCCGAGGAUGAGUCGCCGCGCGCGGCCGUGACAUGGGAGCGCAGGCAAGGGCUGGCGCGCCGAGCAAACGCCGCACAUCGCCGCCGGCCUGCUCCUCUUGCUGCUAGUCAACCUGCCGGGUACACUCCACACCUAGUACUGUUUGUAUUGUCAAUAGCUGGCCAGGAUACGCCGAGGAUGAGUCGCCACGCGCGGCCGUGACAUGGGAGCGCAGGCAUGGGCUGGCGCGCCGAGCAAACGCCGCACAUCGCCGCCGGCCUGCUCCUCUUGCUGCUAGCCAACCUGCCGGUAACCUGCCACCAGGACCACCAAGAUGCCGUUCACAUCACCGCGAUCCUCGGAGAGAGCGUCGUAUUCAACUGCCAGGUGGACUUCCCCGAAGACAUCCCCGUGCCGUACGUCUUACAGUGGGAGAAGAAGGUAGGCGAAACGGGACAGGACAUCCCGAUCUACAUCUGGUACGAGAGCUACCCCACGCACAGCGGCGAGGGAUACGAGGGCCGAGUGUCGCGCGUGGCCGCCGACUCGCCCUACGGCGCCGCCAGCCUCAACCUCACCAACAUCAGAGAGUCGGAUCAGGGUUGGUACGAGUGCAAAGUGGUGUUCCUCAACCGGUCUCCGAAUCAGCACAAGAAUGGCACCUGGUUCCACCUGGACGUGCACGCGCCGCCGCGUUUCUCCAUCACACCGGAAGAGAUUAUAUACGUCAAUUUAGGUGACGCAAUUAUUCUUAACUGCCAAGCGGAGGGUACGCCGACACCAGAGAUACUGUGGUACAAAGACGCGAACCCAGUGGAGCCUUCCGGCACAGUGGGCAUAGUCAACGACGGCACAGAGCUACGGAUUAGCAACAUCCGGCACGAAGACAUCGGGGACUACACGUGCAUAGCAAGGAAUGGGGAGGGACAAGUGUCGCACACCGCACGGGUCAUUAUCGCAGGAGGCGCUGUCAUAACUAUGCCACCAACGAACCAAACAAAGCUCGAAGGAGAGAAAGUCCAGUUUUCAUGCGAAGCAAAGGCACUGCCCGGUAAUGUCACCGUGAAAUGGUUCCGCGAGGGUGCUCCGGUGGCCGAGGUGGCGGCGCUCGAGACCAGGGUGACCAUCCGUAGGGACGGGGCGUUGGUCAUUAACCCGGUGGCGGCGGACGACUCCGGACAGUAUCUGUGCGAGGUGUCCAACGGCAUUGGUGACCCGCAAAGUGCAUCUGCUUAUUUGAAUGUUGAAUAUCCCGCAAAGGUGACGUUUACGCCCACAGUACAAUACUUGCCGUUCCGCUUGGCAGGCGUAGUACAGUGUUACAUAAAAGCGAACCCACCUCUUCAAUAUGUCACGUGGACGAAGGACAAAAGACUGUUAGAACCUUAUCAAACGAAAGACAUUGUGAUAAUGAACAACGGAUCGCUGCUCUUUACACGCGUCAAUCAGAAUCAUCAGGGUCGGUAUACGUGCACUCCGUACAACGCUCAAGGCACGCAAGGAUCCUCAGGUCCGAUGGAAGUGUUAGUGAGGAAACCACCGGUGUUCACAGUCGAACCAGAGCCGUUAUAUCAAAGAAAAGUGGGGGAGUCAGUGGAGAUGCACUGCGAGGCGCAAGAGGCGGAGGGCACACAGCGGCCCAGCGUGGUGUGGCGGCGCCGCGACGGUCUGCCGCUACAGAAGAGUCGGGUGCGCGCACUGGGCGGGAACGUCACCAUCGACACGCUGAGAAGACAGGACUUUGGGAUAUAUCAGUGCGUCGCUUCCAACGAGGUGGCAACAAUAGUCGCGGACACGCAGCUGGUGAUCGAGGGCACGCAGCCGCACGCGCCGUACAACGUGUCGGGCACCGCCACGGAGUUCCAGGUAACGCUGCGCUGGCAGCCGGGCUACGCGGGCGGGCCCGACUACAAGCAGGACUACACCAUCUGGUACCGGGAGGGCGGCUACUCGGAGUGGACCAAGGUUCCUGUCACGCCUUCUGGUGCUACUUUUGUCACAAUAAACCGUCUGCAACCGGGGACCAUGUACGAGUUUCAAGUUAACAGUAAAAAUACAAUCGGAGAAGGAAUGAUGAGCAAAGCGAUUACCAUAAGAACUCUAGAUGUAGGAGCGAAACCAAAGGUGGCUCCUACAACUGCCGGCCCCAUCGAUGAUAAAGCCUUUCCGAAAGCGCCUGAAGACUCUGGUCCGAAGUCCGGCCCGCCACGCAACCUGACGGUGACGGAGGUGCACAACGGGUUCCUCAUCACGUGGCAGGCGCCGCUGGAGCGCUCGCAGCUGGUGCAGUACUACACCAUCAAGUACCGCACCGACGCCGACUGGAAGACGCUCAACAGGGGUCAGAUCCGACCCGAGGAGACCAGCUAUUUGGUUAAGAACCUAGUGGGCGGGCGGACGUACUACUUCCGCGUGCUUGCCAACUCGGCGACCAGCUACGAGAGCUCCGAAGAGGUGAAAUUCCCGGUCCCCGCGCGAGUGAAGCACAAAGCGAUCACGGCGGGAGUCGUGGGCGGCAUAUUGUUUUUCAUUGUUGCCAUCAUACUGUCUGUAUGCGCAGUGAAGAUAUGCAAUAAGCGUAAGCGACGUAAGCAGGAGAAAGAAAUUAUUCGGUUGCAGCAUACAACAUGGUAGCCGCGCGACUGACCGACCUUCGCGCCGCAGACAGCACUCAAGUGCCUUUUAAGAAGAAAUCAGAUUUAGAGAAAGCGGAAUAUCGAGUAUAGUGCAGUGUUUACGAUUCACGGCCAACUGGGUGUGGCCGGCGACGCGGUGCGGCG
rnacentral:misc_RNA from 1 species